rnacentral:rRNA from 1 species
ACAGCAGCCGCCGCGGGAAUACAGAGGGUGCGAGCGUUAAUCAAAUUUACUGGGCGUAAAGCGUGCGUAGGCGGCUUUUUAAGUCGGAUGUGAAAUCCCUGAGCUUAACUUAGGAAUUGCAUUCGAUACUGGGAAGCUAGAGUAUGGGAGAGGAUGGUAGAAUUCCAGGUGUAGCGGUGAAAUGCGUAGAGAUCUGGAGGAAUACCGAUGGCGAAGGCAGCCAUCUGGCCUAAUACUGACGCUGAGGUACGAAAGCAUGGGGAGCAAACAGGAUUAGAUACCCCCGUAGUCCCUGUCUCUUAUAC